rnacentral:rRNA from 1 species
UAGGGAAUAUUCCACAAUGGGCGAAAGCUUGAUGGAGCGACACAGCGUGCACGAUGAAGGCCCUCGGGUUGUAAAGUGCUGUUGCAAGGGAAGAACAGUUAGUUGAGGAAAUGCUUCUAAUCUGACGGUACCUUGUUAGAAAGCGAUGGCUAACUAUGUGCCAGCAGCCGCGGUAAUACAUAGGUCGCAAGCGUUAUCCGGAAUUAUUGGGCGUAAAGCGUUCGUAGGCUGUUUAUUAAGUCUGGAGUCAAAUCCCAGGGCUCAACCCUGGCUCGCUUUGGAUACUGGUAAACUAGAGUUAGAUAGAGGUAAGCGGAAUUCCAUGUGGAGCGGUGAAAUGCGUAGAUAUAUGGAAGAACACCAAAGGCGAAGGCAGCUUACUGGGUCUAUACUGACGCUGAGGGACGAAAGCGUGGGGAGCAAACAGGAUUAGAUACCCUGGUAGUCCACGCUGUAAACGAUGAUCAUUAGUCGGUGGAAAACUACUGACGCAGCUAACGCAUUAAAUGAUCCGCCUGAGUAGUAUGCUCGCAGAGAGUG